GUUGGGAGCUGCUCAGCCGGGAGAUGAAGCCCUUUAUGGGUUGUUUUGCAAACAGAAAUGGUCCAGACUGGAGCAGAGGGAGCCAAGAGAGCAGACAGGACUGUUAGGAUCACCUGGGAAUUCAAGGAAAUGAAGAACGAAUCUCCACCUGUGUCCAGUUGGCAAGUUUGUGAAUGAUUCUUUGGAAAUAUAACAAGGAAUGAGAAGUUUUGGAAAAAGAUGGGGAGCACACUGAGGUCCUCUGGAAGCAGACGUGUCUAGCAUCGAAUUGAUUGUACAUUGGAAGUUCCUGUCUUUCUGCCAUCUUAAGACAGCCUGUCCCAAUUCAGCCAGCAGAGCAGAUAGAUGAGAUACAGAGUCACGUGACUUGGCUGACCUGGAAGAGGAACGGGAUCCAUUCCAUCUUAAAUGCUACUUGUGGCAAAAUCCAUGGAUAGCAAAAUUCGUUUCCUCUUUCUAAGUAUCAGGGCAGGGUCAAUUUUCCAGUCUUCCUUGUAAUUAGGUUGGGGCCAUGAAUGAGCAUCUCUCGAACACGGACAGAAAUCCUUGUCACUAGUGCUUGCCACUCUUUAAUGUGCGCACCCAUCCCCCGGGAUCUUGUUAAAAUGCAUUUUCUGAUUCCACAGGUCUAGGGUGGGACUCAUGUUUCUGCCUUCUGAUAAGGUCUCAGGUGACACUGGUUUCAUGGACAACAACUGAAAAUUUCAGUGCUUUAAAAUAAAUAUAUUUUAUUUUUCACCCACCAGGCUAUGGCUAUGUGGGUGUCCCUGGUCAUCGGGAACCCAAAGUGUAAGAAUGUAUUCCAGCCUGAUCACAAAAUGUGCUGGGCAGCCUUCCUUGAUCUCUCAACCUUCUUUGCACAGCUACAAUCAGAGCCCCUGCGGUGGCAGAGCCCUGGAUGGCUGGAAGGGGAUGGAUACGCUGACUGGAGGAAUCUGCUCAGGGGAGCUGUGGACUCGGGAGGGACCAUGAGAAUACAAAGAGACAGCCUUUUGUGUGACGCUGUGCAUGUCAGGGCUUCCUUGUCAGAGAUUACUCUAACACUUCCUCUUAUCGGCUGCUAAUUCAGUCUUUCCUUGACCCACAAUUUUUGA